CUUGUAUUUCGUCCGUUUCAAAUUACUCGUCGCAGAAAUGGAUGUAUCUAAAUGUACCUAGAACUUCUAGAUACAUCCAUUUCUGCGACGAGUAAUUUGGAACGGAGGGAGUAUUAC
rfam:Triticum aestivum genome assembly, contig: Triticum_aestivum_CS42_TGACv1_scaffold_486309_6AS